CAGUCGAGCGAACAGAUAAGGAGCUUGCUCCUUUGACGUUAGCGGCGGACGGGUGAGUAACACGUGGGUAACCUACCUAUAAGACUGGGAUAACUUCGGGAAACCGGAGCUAAUACCGGAUAACAUUUGGAACCGCAUGGUUCUAAAGUGAAAGAUGGUUUUGCUAUCACUUAUAGAUGGACCCGCGCCGUAUUAGCUAGUUGGUAAGGUAACGGCUUACCAAGGCGACGAUACGUAGCCGACCUGAGAGGGUGAUCGGCCACACUGGAACUGAGACACGGUCCAGACUCCUACGGGAGGCAGCAGUAGGGAAUCUUCCGCAAUGGGCGAAAGCCUGACGGAGCAACGCCGCGUGAGUGAUGAAGGGUUUCGGCUCGUAAAACUCUGUUAUUAGGGAAGAACAAAUGUGUA
rnacentral:rRNA from 1 species